rnacentral:rRNA from 1 species
AUUGAACGCUGGCGGCAUGCCUUACACAUGCAAGUCGAACGGCAGCGCGGACUUCGGUCUGGCGGCGAGUGGCGAACGGGUGAGUAAUACAUCGGAACGUACCCUGUUGUGGGGGAUAACUAGUCGAAAGAUUAGCUAAUACCGCAUACGACCUGAGGGUGAAAGUGGGGGACCGCAAGGCCUCACGCAGCAGGAGCGGCCGAUGUCUGAUUAGCUAGUUGGUGGGGUAAAGGCCCACCAAGGCGACGAUCAGUAGCUGGUCUGGGAGGACGAUCAGCCACACUGGGACUGAGACACGGCCCAGACUCCUACGGGAGGCAGCAGUGGGGAAUUUUGGACAAUGGGGGCAACCCUGAUCCAGCAAUGCCGCGUGUGUGAAGAAGGCCUUCGGGUUGUAAAGCACUUUUGUCCGGAAAGGAAUCGCGCUGGUUAAUACCUGGCGUGGAUGACGGUACCGGAAGAAUAAGCACCGGCUAACUACGUGCCAGCCGCCGCCGUAAAAC